rnacentral:lncRNA from 1 species
GUCUUCAUGGUGAAAACAAACAUGUAGUCGCCCCGGAAAAUGGAGUGCCUCCAAUCAAUACCAACGUACCACAGGCCGUAGAUCCAGUUGGUGUCAGUUCUCGUUUCGCCAUUCGUGGAGAUUAGGCGUCGACCCUGAAAAUAGCAUCCGCAGAGAUGCCCGGGCAGCUGAUCAAAACAUGAAAAAUAGUGAAGAAGGCGGAAUUAACCAUCGAAUGAUAUUUGACAUGCUACAAACUCAGCAGGUCGCGAUAGCACAACUCCAAAAUCAGAAUCGAGCCCCAAGCAGAAUCGAACUCGAUACAUCACAGGAAGUUGUUUAUAGGGUCGAACCCGUACAGGAGAAAUUGAAUGAUCGUGUAUCGGGGAAUGAUCCCGCCAUCAUAAAGAUUCUCGAGGGGCUCACUAAACGGAUUGAAUCGGGAGAAAGGAAGACCGAGUGUAAUGAUAAAAAAGUAUAAAUGUACAACUCCCGGGUUGAUCAAAUACUGGGUGCACCCCCGAUUCUAAAGGGAUUCAUAAAAGUUCAUACAGAAUCCUUUCCCACCAACUGCGGCUCCAAAGCCCAUUCCGAAGAAAUUUCGCAUGCCAAAAAUUCCUAAGUACAAUGGCCACUGACCCUAAUGAGCAUGUCACUUCAUAUAUAUGCGCAAUAAAAGGAAAUGACUUAGAAGACGAUGAAAUUGAAUCUGUUCUGUUAAAAAAUUUUGGAGAAACUUUAUAGAAGGUGCCAAUGAUAUGGUACCAGAAUUUGCCUCCCAAUUCCAUCGAUUCUUUCACCAUGCUUGCCGAUUCAUUCGUAAAGGCACAUGCCAGAGCAAUAAAGGUCGCAACUAGGAAGUCAGACCUCUUCAAAGUGAGACAAAAGGACAAUGAAAUGCUAAGGGAAUUCAUAUCUCGAUUUCAGAUGGAGCGCAUUGACCUACCCUCGGUUACCGAUGAUUAGGCUAUCCAAGCCUUUACUCAGGGUUUGAACAAGCGAAGUUUGGUAGCCUCACGUCAACUAAAGUAGAAUUUAAUUGAAUAUCCAGCGGUGACCUGGGCCGAUGUGUAUAAUUGAUACCAAUCAAAGAUCAGGGUCGAGGAUGAUCAGUUGGGAGAUCUAUUUGGUUCCGUUUACCCAAAUAGGUCUGAAGGCAGGAUUUAAAGAGACAUCGAUAGAGAGCCCCGAUCGAACAUAGAUCGAUAUCAACCAUAUAACGCAGAUUGUAGAAAUAAUGGAUCGGGACGUAAUCUCAUUCGAAAUGAUCGAAGGAAUGAUCGAGGUCAAAAUUUUCGAGGGCUCAUGAGUAAGAGUGGCUUCGUUAAACAUGUCGAGUCUAAGGAAGCACCACGGUUAUCGGAACACAACUUUAGCGUCGAUGCUUCAGGUAUUGUGUCAGCCAUUGGAUGAAUCAAGGAUAUUAGGUGGCCCAGACUCCUGCAGACCGAUCUAACUCAAAGGAAUCCAAAUAAAAUGUACAAUCCCAUGGAAUUAAUGGUCACAAAACCGAGGAUUGCAAAUAAUUAAGGGAGGAGGUAGCUUGUUUAUUCAACGAAGGUCACCUUCGAAAGUUCUUGAGUGACCGAGCAAAAAAUCACUUCAGAGGCAGGAAUGCGAACAGGAAAAACGAACAGGAGGAACUGCAACACGUGAUUCAUAUGAUCAUCGGUGGGGUUGAUAUCCCUUAGAGUCCGACAUUUAAAUGCACCAAAGUCACAAUCACAAGGGAGAAGCGUAACCAGGACUACUUACCAUAAGAUACCUCAUCUUUCAACGAUAAGGAUGUAGAAGGGAUCGAACAGCCUCACAACGACGCACUAGUAAUAUUUAUCCUUAUGAAUAAAAUUCAAGUUAAAUGUGUGUUAGUUGAUCUAGGUAGCUCGACAAAUAUUAUUCGAUCGAGGGUCGUGGAGCAGCUCGUCCUUCAGGAUCAAAUCGUGUCUGUAGUUCGAGUGCUUAACAGUUUUAACAUGGCAAGUGAAACCACCAAAGGGGAAAUCAUGUUACUAGUGAACAUGGCUGGAACUAUCUAGGAAACAAAGUUGCAUGUAAUUGAAGGUGAUAUGAUAUGCAACAUGCUGCUCGGGAGACCUUGGAUCCAUAAUAUGAGGGCGGUACCUUCAACGCUUCAUCAAGUCUUGAAAUUCCUAACAUCGAAAGAAGUCAAAACGAUGUAUAGCGAACAACUAGCAGCCAAAGAGAUGUUUGCAAUCGAUGAGGUGAUACCAAUAUCAACUUUAACAUCAACAAAAGGGACCAGAAUCAAACGAAAAGCAGAAGCUCAAAUAGCAACCACAGUCACCGGUUUCAACCAAAUCGGAACAGUAGGAAAUUAUCAGGGAUGAUGAUUGCAUGAUACCUCGAACCUUCAUAAUCCCCGCUGAUUCCCAUGCCACAAAGUCAACGACUGAAGAGCUGGAACAAGUCAUACUGAUCGAGAAUCUGCCCGACCGAAAGGUAUACCUGGGCAUGGGGUUAACUCCCAAGAUCAGGGAAAAACUCAUUAAAUUCCUUAUUAAAAAUAUGGAUUGUUUUGCUUCAUCCCACCUUGACAUGACAGGGAUCCCACCGGAGAUCACCACUCAUCGAUUGAGUUUGGACCCUAAGUUCAUACCGGUAAAGCAAAAAAGAAGGCCACAGUCCGAGGUAAAGUAUGCAUUCAUCAAGGAUGAGGUAACCAAACUUCUCAAAAUAGGAUCCAUCCGGGAAGUAAAAUAUCCCGAAUAGUUAGCAAAUGUAGUUGUAGUCCCCAAAAAGGGAAAUAAACUUAGAAUGUAUGUAGACUAUAAAGACUUAAACAACGCAUGCCGUAAGGACUCUUUUCCCCCGCCGAAUAUCGAUCGCAUGAUCAAUGCCAUGGCCGACCAUGAGAUUCUCAGCUUUCUCGAUGCCUACUCUGGGUACAACCAAAUAUAAAUGAAUUCAGAGGAUCAGGAAAAUACUUCAUUUAUCACUAAGUACGGUACUUAUUCCUAUAAUGUAAUGCCAUUUGGGCUAAAAAAUGCUGGUGCUACUUAUCAAUGCCUAGUAAACUAAAUGUCCGAAGAACAAAUAGGUAAGUCAAUUGAGGUUUAUGUUGAUGACAUGCUAGUUAAGUCCCUACGCGCAGAGGACCAUUUGACACAUUUGCAGGAAACCUUCGACAUAUUGAGAAAAUACAACAUGAAGCUUAACCCCGAGAAAUGCGCAUUCGGGGUCAGUUCAGGUAAGUUCCUCGACUUUAUGGUGUCAAAUCAGGGAACUAAGAUCAACCCCGAUAAAAUCAAGGCAAUCAAAGACAUCACAGUCAUGGACAUCGUUAAGGUCGUACAAAGGUUAAUAGGACAGAUAGUCGCCUUAGGCCGGUUCAUCUCGAGGUCUUCGAAUCGAAGUCACAGGUUCUUUUCACUACUCAAAAAGAAGAACAAUUUCACUUGGACCCCAGAAUGCCAACAGGCAUUGGAAGAGUUAAAGCGGUAUUUUUUGAGCCCACCAUUGCUUCAUACACUGAAAAUGGGCGAGCAACUCUACUUAUAUUUGGCAGUCUUGGAGGUCGCAUUAAGUGGUGUCCUAGUUCGAGAAGAGCAAGGUACGCAAUUUCCUUUUUACUACAUUAGCCGAAAUUUAGGUGAAGCAGAGACCCGCUACCCACACUUAGAAAAAUUAGCAAUUGCUCUAAUAAGCGCCUCUAGGAAAUUAAAAUCGUAUUUUCAAUGUCACCCAAUUUGUGUUGUAACCACUUAUCCCCUUCGUAAAAUUUUGUACAAGCCCGAGUUCUCAGGCUGACUGGCCAAAUGGGCCGUCGAAAUCAGUGGGUACGAUAUCAAGUAUCAACCUUGAACGACCAUCAAGUCUAAAAUCUUAGCAGACUUCGUGGCCGACUUUACGCUAGCCCUCGUGCCCGAUAUCGAAAAGGAACUAUUGCUAAAAUCGGGUACAUCCUCAGAGGGUGUGGACCCUUUUCACAGAUAGUGCUUUGAAUGUGAAGGAGUCCGAGCUAGGCAUCAUUUUGAAGCCACCCACAUGCAAUACAAUUAGACAAUCCAUCAAAACCGCUAAGUUGACUAACAAUGAGGCCAAGUAUGAGGCCAUGAUUAUAGGUUUCGAGUUGUCUAAAUAUUUGGGAGAAGAGGUCAUAGAGGCCAAGUGUAAUUCCCAACUCGUGGUUAGCCAAGUCAAUAAAAACUUAGAGGUUCAAGAAGAUCGAAGCAGAGGUACUUGGACAAAUUGCAGGUAACCUUACACCGGUUCAAAGAAUGGACCCUACACCAUGUACAUAGAGAGCAGAACAGUGAAGCCGAUGCCCUUGCAAAUUUGGGGUCAUCAGUUGAAGAUGAUGAAAUUAGUUCGGGGAUUGUCGUACAACUUUCAAAGUCGGUAGUUGAAGAUGGCCAUGCCGAGAUAAACUCCACAAGCCUCACUUGGGAUUGGAGGAACAAAUAUAUCGAUUAUCUGAAGAAUGGGAAACUUCCGUCGGACCCUAAGGAAUCGAGGACUCUGUGAAAAAAGCUGCACGAUUCACAUUGUCCAGAGAUGGAACAUUGUACAGAAGGAUAUUCGAUGGGCCGUUGGAAAUAUGCUUGGGUCCGGGAGACACAGACUAUGUCCUACGAGAAAUUCACGAGGAUACUUGCGGAAACCAUUCCAGUGCCGAAUCACUGGGUUCACAAAGUCAUCAGAGUAGGAUACUAUUGGGACAUUGUGGAAAAAAAAUGCGACAAAUUCCAAAGACAUGCACCAAUGAUCCACCAGCCCAGGGAGCAACUUCAUUUAGUCCUAUCCCCAUGGCCAUUCAUGAAAUGGGGAAUGGAUAUUUUCGGCCCUCUUCCAUCGGCCCUGUCACACCUCCUUUUUACCUACACCCCCGGAAGGGGAUAAGGGAGUUUUUUCCAAUUUAAGUGACAAUCGAAACGGGAUUAUUUUUAUUUAAAAUUUCAGAGUCACCACUUGGGAUAAUUUAUGGUGUCCCAAGUCACCGGUUCAAAUCCCGAAUUGAGGAAAGAUUGACUCUGUAUUAUAGUCCGCGAACACAGAAAUUCGGGUAAGGAAUUCUGUUAAUCCGGGAGAAGGUGAUAGGCAUUCCCGAGUUCCGUGGUUCUAGCACGGUCACUCAACUGUUAUUAUUGGCCUAUUUAUCUAAUAUUAACACAUGAUCAAACCUAUGUGCAUUUUUAACUUUAUAACCGCUUUGUUCAAUUAAUUUUUAAGAAAAAUUCAACGUUAUCAAAAAUACAUCUUGAACCACGUCACAUAAAUGCACCCGCGGUCCACGACACAUUUUAUUUAACAUUGUUGGGAUUUGGAUUUGGGUCACAUAAAUGCACACCCGAGUUUAAGGAAAUCAAUUAUUAAAAUAAUGCGCCUAAAGCAACUACGCAUUUUUAACUUUGCGAGGGUCAUGCAAAUUCGCUAAAUGGAACACCUCGAUUUCUAAAAGGCAAACACAUUAAUUAAAUGAGGGCCGUGCAUUUAAAAUUUUACUUGGUACGGCGCGCCUCGAUUCCAAUUUUUUUAAAAGGAAAUUCAAGCUAACCUUUGAGGGCAAUAACCAUAUUUGCUAAGUAUGGCACACCUCAACCAAUUGUCUAAAAUUCCCGGCCCAAGAUACUUUUACAACCAAAUCAUAUGGCCACAACAUUUAAUUUCAAACUUAAUCAAACAACCUGAACAAGAUUCUUAAUAGUCCAGUGAUUAGUUCGCCUUGUAACUCAAAACAUUAAAUCAAAUAAGAAAAUCAAAAAUAAGAAAAACGUCUAUUUGGGUAUCGAACCCAACAUAGAAUUUAAUAGGAAAGAUGACUAAAUCAAUUAUAAUAUUGUGACAAUAAAUAAAAUACAAACUGAAACACACAUAACAGACACACAAGCAUAUAUAUACACUGCAUUGUAUAACGUAACUAAGCUAAACAUAAACAUAAUAUAACAUAACAAAAAAGCUAAAUUAAUCUUGACAUCAUAAGGAAUCAACACAAUUAAUAAAAGAAAUGAGUGAGAGAAAUGAACCUUUUAUAUUGAAAUUUUUUGAUUUAACUAUCACAUCGGCACUUCUCAAGUCGAACAAACGACAGAAACUAGAAACCAAACUUUAACGCCGAGAUCGAUGGACUGGAGCUAUGAGCGAGAGCCUCUAAUGACUUCAAACUUGCCGGAAGAAAAACUCAAACUUCCGGGUAGAAAGAGCUGCUGUUUCGGGGUGGAUUGGUACUGGUUUUUACGGUGUUUUGGAGCUAUUUUUGGGGCAAUUUUGGACUGCUUUCAGGUGGUGUUUCAACUGGAAUUUGGGGUCGUUGGUGGAGUGGACAGUGUCGAGGUGAGACGAGGUGAGGGAGAUGUUGUUGUUCGAGAAGCUGGUGAAGUAGGUAGCUGCUAUGGUGGAGCUCGUCUAGGGUUUGGUUGUGUUCAUUCCUCAUGAAGAAGAUGACAUUUUUGUCUCUUCAACCAAAUGGUUGAAGGAUCAAAACCUUAUAGAUGAUAGCCUAAAUCGUUGUUUUUUGAAGAAGAUCACCGACGUGGGGGUGAGGGGGAAGUCAGAUUCUAUCGUUCUCCUUGUGUAUUGCGGCACCGGUUGUCUUGUAUAGGUUUUUAGGCGUUCUUUCUUGUGUAUCCCCUUUAUUUUAGGUGUUAUACUAUUAUAUAGGGGUAGGGAUUAGAUUAGGGGUAUGAGCCUAGAGUUUAUGGGCUAGGUAAUUGGGC